UGAUAAUGGACUGAAGCUCUGAACCUAAAAUGUCCCAUCAUUCUAUUCAUCCAAAUCUGUCACAGGGGUUCUUUAAUGGCUGUCAUUUUGCUGUGUGUCCUGAUGUCUGUGGAAGAAGCGAGAAUGAACUGGAAUGGAUCUCAUGAGGAUAGCAAAAGGAGAGUUGGCAGAAUCAGCCACUGGACACAUGCCAGGGGCCUUCGACUUAGGGAGAAGCAUGAAGGUCCUGUCAGAAUGUGACGUCUCCCCUGAUCCAAAAGACAGCUCUAGAAGGCUAGACCACCCACUCAGCACUCUGGAGAUGCCCGCAUCAACGUCCUCAGGAAAGCCACAUGCUAUACUUUAUGGGACAUAAACAGGACCAUACGCCACUCUCAGCCCAGCUGAGCAGGGGACUGAGAGAACAGAAUAGGACUUCUGACUUGCUGCACAUGCAAAUAACGUGUCUGACAUGGCCUCCUGCUCUCUGGGUAGUGAGAAAGAGAAGCCAGACCAUGCCCAAUCAGCAGCAGACACUACCAGA